rnacentral:rRNA from 1 species
UCCUUUAAGCGAAGACCUGUUAGGCAAACUUCUCCUUAAACCGUCGAAUUCACUAAGACCGGUUCCACAGACCUGCCUUGAGUCAUUUCUUCAGCGGAGUUUGAAUCGCCCGUGACAACAUAGCGAACGAAGUAAACGACUACUUUUCUGUCACAAAAAACGUACGUGCCCGUAUUAAUAGCAUUUGUUCGGAUGAAAAUGUUCAACAGACUGAAGUAAUUCAAACCAAUCUAGAUAACUACUACUGUGGUUCUAGGAAGUGCUAUACUGCUAACUUCACGCGGAAGGCCUAUUAUUUGAACUUGACCCUACCAACCUUAGGAUGCUAAACUUUAUGUUACAACGCCAAUAGUUGUAGCCAGCGAUGGUAAGAGAAGUUCAUUGUACAGAUCUAGUAGUCGCCGUUAAACUCAGAGUGUCAUUUCAUCAACGGCAUCCCGCAACGAAGUUGAGUCCUUUUGAUCACCGGUGUCGACCCUACAACUGGCUGUUAGGUGUUCCUCGAAUGGCCCUCCUCGAACGGUAGAGGUGUACACUUUAAUGAUACUGACCUCAACCUCCCGGGGAACAACUAAAAUUACCCCUGAAGUAGCCCUACUUGAAAAUACGACUCUUUCUCUGAGGUAAGGAUGGUUCCUAAUUUUAAGAACUUGAGGACAGCGUCAAGUCCUUUUGUUAAGUCACCUACCGAUGUUUAUUCUUUCCUGGACCAUCAUUUUAACUUUCUAAAGGAUCUGGAACAUUUGGACUAAGUCUUCAGUCGAGUUCCUUCCCUCUCUUUGAAUUCCUAGUCUUUGGAAGGUAUACAUGAGAGACACUAGGUCUUACAGUUGGUCCUGAGUACCUAUCUAAUAAUAAUCUCGCCUUCAGAAAUACAAGACCCGCCGGCUCAAUAGGAAUAAAACCGCAAGGAUGUUUUUUCCUCGACUCCAGGUUACCAAUAGGGGAGGGUCAAACCGUCUUACACCCGUACGCAAACGAAUUGUUAAAACUUCUCUUUAAAUCACUUCUAUAGACCUCAUUUGAGCUUUCUUUGCAACGAAGUUUAUACAGAGUUUCACAACAACGUAACCGAAGUAAGUCACCCAUCCUGACAACGAUCUCUGCUACUACUAUCGGGUUUGUCUACCGGGCACGGAUUCAGUAAAACCACGAUAGGCUUCACCGUGCUCUAACUCCUUCUUUAUCUACACCUUCUUCUUUAAUAUAUAGUAGCCGUCGCCGUUGUUAAGAUUGGACUACUUCACGUAGACCUACGUAUCACGGGGAUAGAACAGGAGUUCGACGACUAGGUCAACUUCGUGUUCGGCUAAGACAGAUCGUUCAUACUUCACAAACAUUGAACGGAUUAGACUUCGGACUCUAUGAUCGAAUGCUUGCAUGAAUCAGACUUGAUCUCGGCAAUUCUCUACCCAACCCCUCUGACAGCAUAAAAAACCAUGGUUCAAACAAACGUCGACACCAACACUAAAAUUCCGUGUUCAGACUAGGGUUUAUGAUCCAACUACUAAACGUAUAGGACCGUUAGCCUAAGAAAACCUCCGAUUCAACUCAUCGUCCUCUGCCAUCGAGGUAAGACGACACGAGUUUGUACCUAGGUUUAUCCGAAGUAGUCGUAAUUGAAAAUUCGUGAAACCACGUCGAGAACAAGUAAAACCAACCAACGAAACAGUCGACGUACUACCGGCAGACAGACGGAAAGGAAAAAAAAAAACCUUAAAAGGAAUGAACACAACGUACCCGUUCAAGCACCUACGCGAUCAAUCCGGAACUUGUUACGUUCCACGAAUUCACUUCC